AGUGAACGCUGGCGGUAGGCCUAACACAUGCAAGUCGAACGGCAGCACAGGAGAGCUUGCUCUCUGGGUGGCGAGUGGCGGACGGGUGAGGAAUACAUCGGAAUCUACUCUGUCGUGGGGGAUGACGUAGGGAAACUUACGCUAAUACCGCAUACGACCUACGGGUGAAAGCAGGGGAUCUUCGGACCUUGCGCGAUUGAAUGAGCCGAUGUCGGAUUAGCUAGUUGGCGGGGUAAAGGCCCACCAAGGCGACGAUCCGUAGCUGGUCUGAGAGGAUGAUCAGCCACACUGGAACUGAGACACGGUCCAGACUCCUACGGGAGGCAGCAGUGGGGAAUAUUGGACAAUGGGCGCAAGCCUGAUCCAGCCAUACCGCGUGGGUGAAGAAGGCCUUCGGGUUGUAAAGCCCUUUUGUUGGGAAAGAAAUCCAGCUGGCUAAUACCCGGUUGGGAUGACGGUACCCAAAGAAUAAGCACCGGCUAACUUCGUGUCAGCAGCCGCAGUAA
rnacentral:rRNA from 1 species